CACAUGGUCCAGGAGCAGUGUACAGGGGAACUCCCCCCUCCCCAUCUGCACAUGCAGACACCACACCACUACACCUGAUAGACACAGAACACUGCUCGCAGAGGCAGAUUCUUCACUACAGUCUCAAGAGGGAAAGGCCUAAGCCUCUGUCAGGACCUAGACCCAGUGAUAUUUCCUCAGGGAGAGCACUGGCCAGGAGGCUCCCGUGUCCCUGCCUAACUGGCUAAGAGUUGGAGCAGUCCUAUGUGGUCCCCUCUUCUAUCUCGGCUCCUUCACUUCUCAUUAAGGCUGACCAGUGCUUCCAAUGGUCACUGCGUCUUUUUAGAAAGGCAUUUUGGCUGCAGAAGACCACAGGACUGUAUUGGCUCUGGCAUUCUACUGCCAACAAGAACACUACCACAGAUGCACCUGGUCCCAGGCAUGUGCCGCCAAGAAUAUCACCACAGAUGCACGUGGCCCCAGGCAUGUGCAGUCCUAGUUUCUGCAGGGCUCAGCCAGUACUGACACGCCCACCGUGACCUCAGACACGGGGUCUUCAGCUGCCCGCAUCAGCACAAUCUGGAUAACACGGCCUUCAUAGAUGUGGGCGUCGAACGUUGUCUUCCACUCAGGAUACAUGGUGGGCUUCUUCUGUACCAGUGUCUUCCCUCGCUCUGCGACAGUGCCGGGCAGAGAAGUCAGACUGGGACUAGUCCCUGCUUCCCUGGACCUCCUUAUCCCUCAGUGCCACACAGUCUUCUUUCUCUCCAGCCCCAAGGAUGUGCUACAGCUCUCCAGCAGCCUCUAGUGCCUUUCGGGUACUCUGGCAGGUCCCACCUAAAUCCUUUGGCCUUGCUGUUCCCGUUCCUAUAACAUUUCUGCUCCAGCUCCAAUACAACUUCCCUUUCUGUCUGCAUUCACCCAGUGAUCACAUGGGAGAGCUGCCACAGGUUAGCCAUGACCUGAUGGCAAGGAACAUGGCCAAGUCAAGUCCCAGACAGAGACAUGAACCCCUGCACUCCUCAGGAAGCCACUAAGUAACAGCUGUGAUGGGAUCGAAGAGGACAAAGACGGUGGCUCUGAACCUUCCAGCCAUCACGUGGCCUGACCCUGGAGGAGUGGGCAGCUUAGUCAGAACCUAACAGCUGUGUAGGCAGAAGCCAUCAGGACAGAAAGGCUGGCUUGCUUCGUCCUCAACUUGCAGGGAGCCCAGCUCAUAGGAAUUGAAGGAGAUGCGCAGGAAGGGUGCCAUGAUGGAGCCUGGAGUGAGAUUGUACAGUGAGCAUGAAGCCGAGGCAAUAGAGCAACAUGGUAGCUGCUUUUCUGUCAGUCUACCAAGCCAGGCCACUGUCCCCAUUCCUGAAUGGGGCCCUGGAAGCAUUUGAGCCUGUGAUCCUUAGGCAAUUACAGAACAGCUGUACAUGCCAGGGACCUCUGCACUCAGUGUUAGCAGCUGCCCUCUUGUCUCACUAGGCCCAUGAAGCACCUCUUGAAUCUUUGUUGAUUUUGCUGAUACACACCCAGGCAGAGAGGCAUGGCCAAACUGAGUCCUGUUUUAUCAGCUAAAGGUCCCCAUCCUGUAGAUG
rnacentral:lncRNA from 1 species